rnacentral:piRNA from 1 species
UAUCAAGACCAUUAACCAUGCCUAACUUGU